GUGCCAGCCGCCGCGGUAAUACGGAAGGUCCGGGCGUUAUCCGGAUUUAUUGGGUUUAAAGGGAGCGCAGGCUGAUGAUUAAGCGUGACGUGAAAUGUAGCCGCUCAACGGCUGAACUGCGUCGCGAACUGGUUAUCUUGAGUGAGUUCGAUGUUGGCGGAAUUCGUGGUGUAGCGGUGAAAUGCUUAGAUAUCACGAAGAACUCCGAUUGCGAAGGCAGCCAACAAGGCCUUUACUGACGCUAAAGCUCGAAGGUGCGGGUAUCGAACAGGAUUAGAUACCCUGGUAGUCCGCACGGUAAACGAUGGAUGCCCGCUGUUUGCGAUAUACUGUGAGCGGCCAAGAGAAAUCGUUAAGCAUCCCACCUGGGGAGUACGCCGGCAACGGUGAAACUCAAAGGAAUUGACGGGGGCCCGCACAAGCGGAGGAACAUGUGGUUUAAUUCGAUGAUACGCGAGGAACCUUACCCGGGCUUGAACUGCAGGAGAACGAUUCAGAGAUGAUGAGGUCCUUCGGGACUCCUGUGGAGGUGCUGCAUGGUUGUCGUCAGCUCGUGCCGUGAGGUGUCGGCUUAAGUGCCAUAACGAGCGCAACCCUUUUCAUUAGUUGCCAUCAGGUAAUGCUGGGCACUCUGGUGAUACUGCCACCGUAAGGUGUGAGGAAGGUGGGGAUGACGUCAAAUCAGCACGGCCCUUACGUCCGGGGCUACACACGUGUUACAAUGGGAGGUACAGAGAGUCGGAUAUACGCAAGUAUGUUCUAAUCCUUAAAGCCUUCCUCAGUUCGGAUUGGGGUCUGCAACCCGACCCCAUGAAGCUGGAUUCGCUAGUAAUCGCGCAUCAGCCAUGGCGCGGUGAAUACGUUCCCGGGCCUUGUACACACCGCCCGU
rnacentral:rRNA from 1 species